AUCCAGCUGAUGAGUCCCAAAAAUAGGACUUGACGCGCGUCUUGGAU
rnacentral:hammerhead_ribozyme from 1 species